GUGGAUGAAUUAAAGACAUUUCCUUCCACAGAAGAUAAAAGACCAACAGAUGUGAGAAUAAAAUGCAGAUUUAAGCAAAGCUCCUCUUCCUGUCAGUCACUCUCAGUUUCAGUGUUGUAUUAAAUUGCUCCUCCUGCGCCUCCUCUCCUCAUCCUCCAAACCCUCUAAUCUGUCAGCAGUAAGCUCACUUUCCAAGUCACAAGGCCGUUCUCUGCCCACACUGACAACAUGCUGGGGACCCUCUGCACUCUCAUCACUGCUCUAACAUGUGUGAGUGGUGUGACGGUGGUGACACAGAAGCCUCCAGUUGUGACGGUGAGGAGAGGAGAGACAGCCACCAUGGACUGUGAGGUUUUAACAGAUGAUGGGUCUCGCUGGUAUAAACAGAGUCCUGGAGAAAGUAUUUGGUUUGUUCUGAGGAACCAUUACAGCUACUCCUCUCCAACCUACGGCUCUGGUUUCUCCGCUCCCAAAUUCACUUCUAGUCAUCUGUCAGGGACAAAGUAUCGUUUGACUAUCAGCAGUGUGGAGGAGGGAGACUCAGCAGUCUAUCACUGUGAAACAUGGGACGACUCUGCAAAGGAGCAUGUACCACAGUGAAUGAUACUGUGACAAAAACCUCCUCACUAAAACACUUCUCAUUUUUAAGAGACUGGUAUAUAUUACUGAGAGAAAAGCUAUCAUGGGAAAUGAUGCCUCUGACAUCUUCCCAUGCACAUGUAAACUUCUUAAUUUGAAAUACAUCACAGUGUUUGUUGGUCAUGUUAAGGCUGAAGCCACCACUGAGGUAAAGACUCUAAAGCACAAAUCAAGACCAAGACAGUAAAAAAAACACUGAUUUUUACCGGCAGA